UACGUAGGGUCCGAGCGUUGUCCGGAAUUAUUGGGCGUAAAGGGCUCGUAGGCGGUCUGUUGCGUCGGGAGUGAAAACUUACAGCUUAACUGUGAGCGUGCUUUCGAUACGGGCAGACUUGAGGCAUUCAGGGGAGAACGGAAUUCCUGGUGUAGCGGUGAAAUGCGCAGAUAUCAGGAGGAACACCUAUUGCGAAGGCAGCUCGCUGGGACGUAACUGACGCUGAGACGCGAAAGCGUGGGGAGCAAACAGG
rnacentral:rRNA from 1 species